UGUCUCCCACUCACCAGUAACCUAAUUAUGUUCUUAAAAAGAAAGAACCUAGAAGACCAUAGAAGAAAUCCAAAACUUAAAUCAGGAUGCCUUGUUAGUGUACUUUAAGCCCGAAUGAAAGUUUUGUCGUCCAUAAUGUUGAGAAAGAAGUCUUAAGUGGACAAGAACCUCCCCUCAA